CGCCUCGGAGCCCCUCUCCACCUUCAUCUCCCGUGUUUUUUUUUUUGGUUUGAACCCGUGCAUCCUCGCGUCACCCACGAAUCUGCUCCCACUGCACAGCGCCGUGCGCCCACACAUCGCGCGAGAUGCAAUCUGCCGCCAGGCUCCUCGCUGCGGCCGCGCCGCGAAGCCCGCGGCCUCUCCUGCUGCGCGGCCUCUGCUCCGCCUCGCCCGCUGGACAGCCGGAUCCGCGGCCCUAUCCGGUCCCGGAACUCGACCCCGACCCACAGCUCGUCGGCGCGCUCUGCCGUGUGCUCAGCGACUUCCGCGGGCCGCGGCACGACCUCCGCGCCGCGCUCGACGGAUUCGCGCCGCGCCUCACCCCCGCGGCGGCGGCCGACGUCCUGCGCCGCUGCCGCAACCUCCCCGUGCCCUCGCUCCGGUUCUUCCUCUUCGCCGCCGCGCUGCCGGGCUUCACCCAUCUUCCGGAGUCGCUCCUCAUCCUCGCCGGCUCGCUCGCGGGGGCGCGGCUCUUCCCGCUUCUGCGCUCCCUGCUCUCCGAUCUCCCGCGACCCGCGCUCUCGCGGGACCUGUUCCCGCUGCUGUUCCGCGCGUACGCCCGCGCCGGCCUCCCCGACGACGCCAUCCGAGCUUUCUCCUCCAUGGAGAGGUUCGGGUUCCUGCCGACGGUCGCUGAUCUCCACUCCCUGCUCUUCACGUUAUCGCAUAAUGGCCUGGUAGAGCAUGCCGAGGCAUUCUUUAGGGAGUCGCCAAUUCAGUUUGAUGUUUCGGCCAAAACCUAUACCAUCCUGAUCUCUGGGUGGGCUGUUGUUGCAAAGCCAGAGAAGGCUCAGAAGCUGUUUGACGAAAUGAUUGAGAGAGGGGUCCAGCCUGAUGUGCCUGCCUAUAAUGCGUUGAUUGACGCCUUGUGUCGAGGAGGGGAUGUUGCACUUGCACAGGAGCAGCUAAAAGAUAUGCAACGCAGCCGUGGGCUUGCCCCUGAUGCUGCUACUUAUGGCCCAUUCCUUCGUUCUGCAUGUGCGUCAAAAGAUGCUCGUGCUGCUCUUCGAGUGCUAGAUAGGAUGCGUGCACGCAGCCUUACACCAAAUGUAUUCACGUAUAAUGCUGUCAUUCGGUUACUGUGUGAGUUGGGAGAGGUUGAUGAGGCUUAUAAUAUCCUCAAUGAGAUGGCAACCUAUGGGGAGAAGCCUGAUGUCUGGAGCUACAACACUCUGCUUAAUACACAUUGUAAGCUGAAAGAGGUGAACAAAGCGUUACGGCUUAUUUCAAGGAUGGAUGAAGGCUUGUGUUUGCCUAAUCGGCACUCUUACAACAUGAUACUGAAAAUGUUGAUUGCUAUAGGAAGGGUUGACAGGGCAAUUGAGGUUUGGGAUGGUAUGGAAAAACGUGGUUUCCACCCAGGAGCAGCUACUUACGCUGUUAUGAUCCAUGGGCUAUCUUGCAAGAAGGGUAGAGCAGAGGAGGCCUGCAGUUACUUUUUGAGGAUGGUAGAUGACGGUAUCCCUCCUUACCAGGCUACUUGUCAGGUGCUGAGGGAUAGGUUGCUCAGGCUUGGUUUGCGAGAUGAUCUUGAGAUGCUCACUGAUAGGAUGCGCCGGAGCACGUCCUGCACAAUACAAGAUUUGGCAAGUAUCAUGUGCAAUAAGAGGGCAGAGGAAACUAGAAAUCUGAAAUGUGACCAUGAAUUCUCUGGCCUUGAUCUUGCUGAGAGCCAGUGGAGGGAGAAAUGGAAAAUUGGAGACACCUCGUAGAGGGAGGUUUAAUGUAUAUAAGAAUCUCUGUGAUCCCAUUGAUGAAUGGCACUACUAACUUUGCUCUGCAAUUUCUUGCUGGGCUAACAUGGAUUCAGAGCCGUCAUCACAGAACCCAACAGAUAUGACUGCAUUUGU